rnacentral:rRNA from 1 species
UACGUAGGGUGCAAGCGUUGUCCGGAAUUAUUGGGCGUAAAGAGCUCGUAGGCGGUCUGUCGCGUCGGAUGUGAAAACCCAGGGCUCAACCCUGGGCCUGCAUUCGAUACGGGCAGACUAGAGUUCGGUAGGGGAGACUGGAAUUCCUGGUGUAGCGGUGAAAUGCGCAGAUAUCGGGAGGAACACCUGAGGCGAAGGCGGGCUACUGGGCCGAUACUGACGCUGAUGCGCGAAAGUGUGGGGAGCGAACAGG